rfam:Monosiga brevicollis mitochondrion, complete genome.
GGUGUAGUGAUUCGGUAAUCUUUUAAAUCUGCAAAAUUUGAUAAGUGGGUUCAACUCCCGCCUAUACCU